GUGUUAGUGGAAAGGAAUAAUGGUUGACAUAUCCCAUGACAGGGACAAGAAGAGCUUUCAGGUUUUUCUUGUAACCAUACACAUGCUGUUAAGGCUACCCAUCAUGGGUGGAUCUAUAACCCAAUCUCAUC